UACGUAGGGUGCGAGCGUUGUCCGGAAUUAUUGGGCGUAAAGGGCUCGUAGGCGGUUUGUCGCGUCGGGAGUGAAAUCCACUGGCUUAACUGGUGGCUUGCUUUCGAUACGGGCAGACUGGAGGUAUGCAGGGGAGAACGGAAUUACUGGUGUAGCGGUGAAAUGCGCAGAUAUCAGGAGGAACACCGGUGGCGAAGGCGGUUCUCUGGGCAUGUCCUGACGCUGAGGAGCGAAAGUGUGGGGAGCGAACAGG
rnacentral:rRNA from 1 species